rnacentral:rRNA from 1 species
AACGCGAAGAACCUUACCUGGGCUCGAAAUGGAGUGGACCGGAGUAGAAAUAUUCCUUCCCCGCAAGGGGCUGCUCUAUAGGUGCUGCAUGGCUGUCGUCAGCUCGUGUCGUGAGAUGUUGGGUUAAGUCCCGCAACGAGCGCAACCCUUAUUACCAGUUGCCAUCAUUAAGUUGGGCACUCAGGUGAGACCGCCUCGGAUAACGGGGAGGAAGGCGGGGAUGACGUCAAGUCCUCAUGGCCUUUAUGUCCAGGGCUACACACGUGCUACAAUGGCCGGUACAAACCGUCGCAAACCCGUGAGGGGGAGCUAAUCGGAAAAAGCCGGCCUCAGUUCGGAUUGUAGUCUGCAACUCGACUACAUGAAGCUGGAAUCGCUAGUAAUCGCGGAUCAGAACGCCGCGGUGAAUACGUUCCCGGGCCUUGUACACACCGCGCAUA